rnacentral:rRNA from 1 species
AUGAUCCAGUGGAAGUCUGGAACGCACUCAUGGGUUGAGCAGCCAUUUGCUUCUGGUGGUGCUCGCAUCCUUCAGAUCGUGUUCUUCAAAGGUCAGAUGUUUGCCAUCGACUUUCUUCAGAGGAUCCACAUUAUGCAAAUUUUGCCUCAGCUUGCCAUGCAUGAAGUAGCAGCUGUGAGGGUAGGGGACAUGGUUAUUGGCCUCCAUUUCAAGCCAUGGUUGGUGGUAUGUGGCAAGAGGCUUCUCCUGGUUGACCUAUCGGUAGUCUCUGACGAACUAUAUGGCAUCCAUGCUAAGUUUCGAGUCUUUCACCUUGACUUGUCAACGGAACCAGACAAGUGUAUGGAGACAAUAAUGCAGGUGUAG